rnacentral:rRNA from 1 species
AACGUAGGUGGCAAGCGUUAUCCGGAAUUACUGGGCGUAAAGGGUGUGCAGGCGGGGAAGCAAGUGGGGUAUGAAAUCUCCAGGCUUAACCUGGAGGGGUGAUGCCAGACUGCAUCUCUAGAGGACGAGAGAGGGGGGUGGAAUUCCGGGUGUAGUGGUGAAAUGCGUAGAGAUCCGGAGGAACCCCAGAGGCGAAGGCGGCCCCCUGGCUCGUACCUGACGCUCAGCCACGAAAGCAUGGGGAGCGAACGGG